UAGCAAGUCGUAACGCUUUUGUUUUCUACCGGUGGCUUGCACCACCGAACGACAAAAGAAGUAGGCGGACGGGUGGAGUAACGACGUGGGUAACCUAGCCCACUAAGAGGGGGAGUAACAUCCGGAAACGGAUGCUAAUACCGCAUAUUUCCAAUUGUCUCCUGACAGAUGGAAAAAGGUGGCUUCGGCUACCGCUUAUGGAUGGACCCGCGGCGUAUUAGCUAGUUGGUGAGGUAAUGGCUCACCAAGGCGAUGAUACGUAGCCGACCUGAGAGGGUGAUCGGCCACACUGGGACUGAGACACGGCCCAGACUCCUACGGGAGGCAGCAGUAGGGAAUCUUCCGCAAUGGACGAGAGUCUGACGGAGCAAUGCCGCGUGAGUGAAGAAGGUUUUCGGAUCGUAAAACUCUGUUGUUAGAGAAGAACAAGGAUGAGAGUAACUGCUCAUCCCCUGACGGUAUCUAACCAGAAAGCCACGGCUAACUACGUG
rnacentral:rRNA from 1 species